UAGGGAAUCUUCGGCAAUGGACGAAAGUCUGACCGAGCAACGCCGCGUGAGUGAAGAAGGUUUUCGGAUCGUAAAACUCUGUUGUUAGAGAAGAACAAGGACGUUAGUAACUGAACGUCCCCUGACGGUAUCUAACCAGAAAGCCACGGCUAACUACGUGCCAGCAGCCGCGGUAAUACGUAGGUGGCAAGCGUUGUCCGGAUUUAUUGGGCGUAAAGCGAGCGCAGGCGGUUUCUUAAGUCUGAUGUGAAAGCCCCCGGCUCAACCGGGGAGGGUCAUUGGAAACUGGGGGACGUGAGUGCAGAAGAGGAGAGUGGAAUUCCAUGUGUAGCGGUGAAAUGCGUAGAUAUAUGGAGGAACACCAGUGGCGAAGGCGGCUCUCUGGUCUGUAACUGACGCUGAGGCUCGAAAGCGUGGGGAGCAAACAGG
rnacentral:rRNA from 1 species